UGGUUCAUGGUUCUGAAGGCUUGUAAAGUCCAAGUUCAGUUGCAUCUGAUUGGCUUCUGGUGAAAGUUUCUGGUGAAAGCUGCUUCAUGCAAGGCAGAAAAGUGGAAGGACAAACGGGCAUGUGCAGAAGAGCCAAAGCAUAAGGGGUACUCUUGCUAUACAAGAAUCUGCUCUUGAGGUAACCAUUCCAGUUCUACAAAGCAGGAUAUCUCUCCCACCAGAGGAAUUUAAUCUAGUAAUGAGGAUUUUGUCUCCUGACCAGAACACCUUCCGUGAUACUCCACAUUCUAACCCUGCUGCAUUGAGGACUUAAGUCUCAACAAGAGUUUUUGGUGGAGGCAAACCAUCUUAAAACCAUGGCAACAGCCCCAUGGAGGGAGGUCCUUGAGACAAGGAACUGUAGCCUCUUGCCAACCGCCACAUGAGUGAGCUUGGAAAGGACCCUCCAGUCCCAGUCAAGCCCAGAUGACUGCAUCCUUGGUGGACACUUGAUAGAGGCUAAUGAAAGACCCUGAGCCAGGACUCUUCAGCUGAGCUGCUCCAGGACUCCUGAAAUUAUCCGUUUUCAUCAGUUUGCCUACUGUUUAUCAAUUGUACUUAUCUCUUCAAAGAACUAAAUAUGGAAACACCUGUGGAGCAACCAGAAACCAACACAAAAGACCAGUCCAACUGGACCUGAAGCUGGAAGCCCCAUAGAACAUAGCCUGGAUGAACCAACUCACAGCCAACCUGCAGACCAGGAAUAGGAAGAGAUGAUGGGGUUUGGGGAUAGUUUUUUAAGCAGCUGUAUAUGACUAACUGAUAGAGCUCAUGGGUUUAUAUAGCAAAUUGAUAGAGUUUAUACAUUUUAUUUAACCAACUCCCUACAGAUAGACAAAUUGAAUUAUUCCAAGAAAAGUUUGGUUCAUUUUAAAAAACAUUUCUAUAAGAUCUAUUUCUAGAAGAAUUGCAUCAAAGAGUUGUACUCUUAAACUUUGAAAACAUAUUACUCAAUUAUGCUCACCAAAGCUAUGCCGAUUCACGUUCUUAUCAUCAGUUUAUAAGCAUUUAUUUUUCCUCCUAUCUUCCAACACCGAAUAUUAAAAUAUUUGAUUAUCAAUCUAAUAAAUGAAAUAUAAUAUCUA